CUACGGGAGGCUGCAGUGAGGAAUAUUGCACAAUGGGGGGAACCCUGAUGCAGCAACGCCGCGUGGAGGAUGACGCAUUUCGGUGUGUAAACUCCUUUUAUAUGUCAAGAAAAUGACGGUAGCAUAUGAAUAAGCACCGGCUAACUCCGUGCCAGCAGCCGCGGUAAUACGGAGGGUGCAGGCGUUACUCGGAAUCACUGGGCGUAAAGGACGCGUAGGUGGGUUGGAAAGUCAGGUGUGAAAUCCUACAGCUUAACUGUAGAACUGCACUUGAAACUUCUAAUCUAGAGUAUGGGAGGGGGAGAUGGAAUUAGUGGUGUAGGGGUAAAAUCCGUAGAUAUCACUAGGAAUACCUAAAGCGAAGGCGAUCUACUAGAACAUUACUGACGCUGAGACGCGAAAGCGUGGGGAGCAAACAGGAUUAGAUACCCUGGUAGUC
rnacentral:rRNA from 1 species